rnacentral:rRNA from 1 species
AACCGGAUUAGAUACCCUGGUAGUCCAUGCCGUAAACGUUGGGCACUAGGUGUGGGGGACAUUCCACGUUUUCCGCGCCGUAGCUAACGCAUUAAGUGCCCCGCCUGGGGAGUACGGCCGCAAGGCUAAAACUCAAAGGAAUUGACGGGGGCCCGCACAAGCGGCGGAGCAUGCGGAUUAAUUCGAUGCAACGCGAAGAACCUUACCAAGGCUUGACAUGAACCGGAAUGAUGCAGAGAUGUGUCAGCCACUUGUGGCCGGUUUACAGGUGGUGCAUGGUUGUCGUCAGCUCGUGUCGUGAGAUGUUGGGUUAAGUCCCGCAACGAGCGCAACCCUCGUUCCAUGUUGCCAGCGGGUUAUGCCGGGGACUCAUGGGAGACUGCCGGGGUCAACUCGGAGGAAGGUGGGGACGACGUCAAAUCAUCAUGCCCCUUAUGUCUUGGGCUUCACGCAUGCUACAAUGGCCGGUACAAAGGGUUGCGAUACUGUGAGGUGGAGCUAAUCCCAAAAAGCCGGU